UAAAACUGCCAUUCAAUGCACAACGGAUAAUUUCACUGUCUCGAAAUGAUUUUCAGUCCUUGUUGAAAAUGCACAAGCUUACUCCAGAACAGCUGGAUUGUAUCCAUGAUAUUCGAAGAAGAAGUAAAAACAGAAUUGCUGCACAGCGCUGUCGCAAGAGAAAACUUGACUGUAUACAGAAUCUUGAAUCAGAAAUUGAGAAGCUG
rnacentral:lncRNA from 1 species